AUACAUAGCAUAUCAGAAGGCACACCCGGAGAACUGAAACAUCUUAGUAACCGGAGGAAGAGAAAGAAAAUUCGAUUCCCUUAGUAGCGGCGAGCGAAACGGGAAGAGCCCAAACCAACAAGCUUGCUUGUUGGGGUUGUAGGACACUCUAUACGGAGUUACAAAGGACGACAUUAGACGAAUCAUCUGGAAAGAUGAAUCAAAGAAGGUAAUAAUCCUGUAGUCGAAAAUGUUGUCUCUCUUGAGUGGAUCCUGAGUACGACGGAGCACGUGAAAUUCCGUCGGAAUCUGGGAGGACCAUCUCCUAAGGCUAAAUACUCUCUAGUGACCGAUAGUGAACCAGUACCGUGAGGGAAAGGUGAAAAGCACCCCGGAAGGGGAGUGAAAUAGAACCUGAAACCGUGUGCUUACAAGUAGUCAGAGCCCGUUAAUGGGUGAUGGCGUGCCUUUUGUAGAAUGAACCGGCGAGUUACGAUUUGAUGCAAGGUUAAGCAGUAAAUGUGGAGCCGUAGCGAAAGCGAGUCUGAAUAGGGCGUUUAGUAUUUGGUCGUAGACCCGAAACCAGGUGAUCUACCCUUGGUCAGGUUGAAGUUCAGGUAACACUGAAUGGAGGACCGAACCGACUUACGUUGAAAAGUGAGCGGAUGAACUGAGGGUAGCGGAGAAAUUCCAAUCGAACCUGGAGAUAGCUGGUUCUCUCCGAAAUAGCUUUAGGGCUAGCCUCAAGUGAUGAUUAUUGGAGGUAGAGCACUGUUUGGACGAGGGGCCCCUCUCGGGUUACCGAAUUCAGACAAACUCCGAAUGCCAAUUAAUUUAACUUGGGAGUC
rnacentral:rRNA from 1 species